UCUGCCCUGAUUGCUUCCCCAAACCGAGCCGCGCUGCCCCCCCAAAACGCCGGCCCGUCACCCUCUGGACCCCCCAAAAACCCUUGCCUCCUUAGGACGGGAAAGCCGCCGCUUUGCUUUGCUUGUCUUUAGGGAGAAAUACCCCGAAACAAAAUUAGGGAGAAAGCGGAUCGGGUCCAUCAGCGAAGACCAGCGGUGGCUGAUCCAAAGUUGUUUUGCUCAAACAAGCACCCAGAGGUUAAUUUCUUCAAGAGCCCCAUGAAAAGCGAUUAGCCUGUCUCCCAAGAAGUAUUUUCUAAUUACUUGGAAGCUCUCGCUUUACUACUACCCCAUAAUUAAACGUGUUCAAGGUGCUGCACUUCAAAUAUUUCGCUCGCGGGCGGACCCAAGUUACCGAUAAAAACUUUAAACCUCCUUGAAGCCCUCGUUACCUGCCCGCUCGCUGCCCGUACAGCGUUAACCUCCCCAUUCGUUAUCCCGCUCCUUCGCGGGGAUAUUUCUACCCUACAUGGGACAGGGAGGAGAAUUCCUGAGGUAAACUCAGAAGUAGGAGAUAAACAAAGCUGUACAAAACAAUUACUGCAUCUGCCUGUCCUCUGACAAUAAUCCAGCACCUCAGGUUAUUUUUAUCUCAAGCUCAAUCUCUGUAGAAACAUUCCCCAGCAGCACUAUCGGUCUGCGGUCGCCUCGCAAGCGGCAUCGCGGGGCAUCGUGCAUCGUGCGGGGGCUUUUCCUCGGGAACCACUGUGGGUCACCGGGAGAGGUGCCUUGAAAAUGGGAGUUUGGCUUCGUUUGCUUCUGUGCUUCAGCCUCCCCUCGCAGACCUAGUGCCUGCAAAUGUCACCCCUCCGCACACCAGCCAUGUUUCUUUUCCUUGUGCUCUCCGCGUAGUUUCAACGAGGCUCAUUCCAUGCUUCCAUCCUUUAAAAAAUUUAUGUUUUCCCUCCCUCAAAUAGGAGAGUGUGCGGGUGCUGCGGAACACCACACCCUGCCCUUUGCUCGGCGCUUUUGGCCCUGACAACUUUAGAAACGGGAUGCCAAGGCAGGAGCUGGGUCCGGGGAAGGAAGGAGGGAGAUUGCGGCCGACCCCCGCCCUCCGGCGGGCAGCGGGCAGGGGCCGGGGCCGGGCUGCGUGCCGCUCCUGGGCUGUUUGUGCCGCUCCUGGGCUGUUUGUGCCGCUCCUGGGCUGUUUGUGCCGCUCCUGGGCUGUUUGUGCCGCUCCUGGGCUGUUUGUGCCGCUCCUCCGAGCAAAGCCUCCCCCCAGCUUUUCCCCACACUCGGGGAAAAAACCCAAAACCAAACCAAACGACGAACCCCGAGGUGCUGGGAAGCCAAAAUGCCCAGGACAGUAGUGGAAACCCAGGGAGGUGCCGCACCUCCCGCUCUCCCAGCGUGGAAUGACUGCCUGCAAAACGCAGGCACGGACCAAAUUUCCCCUGGCUCACAGCGAUUCCCAUUUCCAGCCGGUCCUGCCCGUACUGCCGGGGGAGCUCUGGCAGAGACUCUACCCCGUGGGCAGCCCCGGUGUGCCUCCCGCUCACACCCGGCAUCACUUUUCUUUUUUCAAGCGAAGCCUUUGAGGCAGCUUUGCCAGCGCGCUGGAGCUGCUGGUGAGGGAUAGAGGAGAGGGGAGAGGUCGCUGCUCCUUUGCCAGGCUGCCUGUGCCGCAGGCGGUGUGCCCGGCGCUGUCCGGCUUUCCCUGGCCUCUCGCACUAAUUUUGGAAGGGAAAAGCCAAUAGCCACCCCCGCCUAGCCCUGUCCAGGCUUUCCUGGAGCCCGAGGGGCCGGGAGAGCUCGGCCAGCACGGCCGCAUUUCCCCAAUGCCGCCGGGCUCUCACUGCACCGCCGACAAGCAGAGGAAUGGGAAGCGAGCACCCUCCCCAUUCCCCGCUCCCCUGGUGCCAGGCGGGGUGAAGGGCGCUUUGCGCUGCCACCCGCAGCCUGGCGUGGCACCGGCAGCGCCCAUCCACACACUUCACGCGGGAACACUUUCCCAUCAACGGGGGCAAACAGACGUGUUGGAAAGCCUGGCUUCCACUUUCUUGCAAGAUCAUGAAAAUUUUAUGAGCUGCUCGUGGCGCGGGCAGAGCCCGCUGCUGCCGCGCCCGGCCCCGCACGAGGCUCCCCGGGAACGGAGCAGGGCACGGGCACGGAGGAUGCUCGAGAGGGAACGGAUGAGGGUCAAUGUCAGAGUCCUGGCUCUGGAAAGCGGCGUUCGGUCACGGCUACCGU